rnacentral:rRNA from 1 species
UACAGAGGGUGCGAACGUUGUUCGGAUUUACUGGGCGUAAAGCGCGUGUAGGCGGUCGGGCAAGUCGGAUGUGAAAGCCCAGGGCUCAACCCUGGAAGUGCACUCGAUACUGCUCGGCUAGAGUCCCGGAGAGGAUGGUGGAACUCUCGGUGUAGAGGUGAAAUUCGUAGAUAUCGAGAAGAACACCGGUGGCGAAGGCGGCCAUCUGGACGGUGACUGACGCUGAGACGCGAAAGCGUGGGGAGCAAACAGG